GUCCGCCCGCUGGCUCGGUGCGCGCUCGUCUGGGCGUCGUCGCGGCUGCCUGUUCGGCUCGGGAGCUGCAGCCCGGAGGCGCUGGCUGCGGGAGUCCGCGGGCGCCGUCGCAGGGGCACGAACCCGACGAAUCCGAGGAGGAGGCCGGGGACGUGGAGUCCGAGUGGCCGGCCCAGCCCCAGCCCUGGGCGAAGAUCCAGUGGUCGUGGCCGAGAAGGCUCUGCGGAGGAGGCGACUGGGCCAUGGCCGGGCUGCAGGCUCUGGGAGGCUGGGCUGGCCACCUCCAGGCCUGAGCUUUUAUGUUGACCAAAGACUUGCUCUAUCGUCCAGGCUGGAGUGUAGUGGCACCAUCUCAGCUCACUGCAACCUCUGCCUCCUGAGUUCAAGUGAUUCUUCUGCCUCAGCCUCUCAAGUAGCUGGGACUACAGAUGGAGUCUCACUCUAUUGCCCAGGCUGGACUACAAUGGCAUGAUCUCGGCUUACUGCAACCUUCACCUCUUGGGUUCAAGCAAUUCUCCUGCCUCAGCCUCCCAAGUAGCUGGGAUUACAGGCAUGCACCACCACACCUGGCUAAUUUUUGUAUUUUUAGUAGAGACAGAGUUUCACCAUGUUGGCCAGGCUGGUCUCAAACUCCUGACCUCAAGUGAUCCACCUCGGAUCCUCGGCCUCCCAAAGUGCUGGGAUUACAGGCGUGAGCCACCAUGCCCAGCCUUUUUAAUUUUAAAUAAUAAAAAAAAAAUAAGAAGAAAGAAACCUAAACGACUCGGUAUUCCCAGGCUGUCUCCCAUCCUAGUACUUAGCUUCUGAGAUAAGACAAGAUUGGGCGUGUUCAGGGUGGUAUGGCUGUAGACCAGAACUUAUUUUUAAAUUGCACAUGUAAUACAUGAAUGGAGUC